CUACCGUCGCUGAGAGGCGAAGGGAUGAAGUUGCAGAAGUCAGCCGCGGGCAUAGUAGGUUCAGUCGACCGAACUGAAGGCC
rfam:Environmental sequence XZS49182.b1, whole genome shotgun sequence.